GCUGGUAUAGUUUACAUAAAUAAAAUAUUGCUCUGAAGAAGCAAAGAAUAUUUUCUAGCA
rnacentral:tRNA from 1 species